rnacentral:rRNA from 1 species
AUUGAACGCUGGCGGCAGGCCUAACACAUGCAAGUCGAACGAGUGGCGGACGGGUGAGUAAUGUCUGGGAAACUGCCUGAUGGAGGGGGAUAACUACUGGAAACGGUAGCUAAUACUGCAUACCACCGGAUGUGCCCAGAUGGGAUUAGCUAGUAGGUGGGGUAACGGCUCACCUAGGCGACGAUCCGCAACUGGUCUGAGAGGAUGAUCAGUCAAACUGGAAGUGAGACACGGUCCAGACUCCUACGGGAGGCAGCAGGGGGGAAUAUUGGGCAAGGGGCGAAAGCCUGAUCCAGCCAUGCCGCGUGUGUGAAGAAGGUCUUCGGAUUGUAAAACACUGUAAGUUGGGAGGCGUUACCGACAGAAUAAGCACCGGCUAACUUCGUGCCAGCAGCCGCGGUAAUAC